rnacentral:rRNA from 1 species
GAUGAACGCUGGCGGCGUGCCUAAUACAUGCAAGUCGAGCGAACAGACGAGGAGCUUGCUCCUCUGACGUUAGCGGCGGACGGGUGAGUAACACGUGGAUAACCUACCUAUAAGACUGGGAUAACUUCGGGAAACCGGAGCUAAUACCGGAUAAUAUAUUGAACCGCAUGGUUCAAUAGUGAAAGACGGUUUUGCUGUCACUUAUAGAUGGAUCCGCGCCGCAUUAGCUAGUUGGUAAGGUAACGGCUUACCAAGGCAAUGAUGCGUAGCCGACCUGAGAGGGUGAUCGGCCACACUGGAACUGAGACACGGUCCAGACUCCUACGAGAGGCAGCAGUAGGGAAUCUUCCGCAAUGGGCGAAAGCCUGACGGAGCAACGCCGCGUGAGUGAUGAAGGUCUUCGGAUCGUAAAACUCUGUUAUUAGGGAAGAACAAAUGUGUAAGUAACUAUGCACGCCUUGACGGUACCUAAUCAGAAAGCCACGGCUAACUACGUG